GGCAUUAACGAUAGAGGAAGAGUCGUAAACAGAAAAUAUCUCCUCUAGAAAUUUGGUUUAAUAAAGCACAUGAAAUAGUGAAACACAGUUAAAGUUGCAGAACCAAUAAAUUUCACAUGUAUACAAACAGCAAUGAGAUUAAUGUCCACUCAAGACAGUUCUCUCCUGGGCGAUGAAUUUUACAAUAGUGAAAACAUUCUUAUCUUUCUUUUUUUUUUUU
rnacentral:misc_RNA from 1 species